UUUAGAUAUUUUCAAAAUCCUAGGUAGGUGGACUUAGUAAUUUUUUUCUUACUUUAUGCAUUAAGGGCACACAGUUUGUCCUGCUAGAGGGUCAUUUUCUAUCUAGUUUAUAUGUUGUUAUUGUUGACAACAUGGAAGUCAAGUUUGAUAUUGAUAAUCAUAAAUUUUACCUAUUAGGAGUUUUGGUCCUUGUAAUAUUGAUAAAUGCCAGAACACAAAUAAAUGUUAAAGAAUCCGGUUUACUGUCAUUUUGACAGCUCUUGUUACUAAUAUUUUCCACUGUAACUACUGGGCCAAGUUCAUUAUAGAUACUGAUAAUUGUAAGCAGCAAGAAUGUUCAGUAAAGUAAGAUGUACAAACACAUCACCAUCACCAAAACACGAUUUUGUCAUGAAUCCAUCUGCGUCCUUUGUUUAAUAUUCACAUAGACCAAGGUGAGUGACACAGGCUCUUUAGAGCCUCUAGUUUUA
rnacentral:lncRNA from 1 species